rnacentral:tRNA from 1 species
GGAUAUAGCUCAGUGGUAAAGUACUUGCCUGGCAUGCAUGAAGCCCUGGGUUCAAUCCCCAGCACUACCA